rnacentral:lncRNA from 1 species
CGCCAAAGUCUCCCAGGGGAGCCUGUCUGCCCCAGCCCGGGUGUGCAGCAGAGGGGACCACCCCCAGACCGUGGGCAAGGAGGAGGUGAAGUCCUCAGGAGUGUGCGCCAGGGACGCCCACACCUGGCUUUGUGCAUGAAAAUGGAAACCGGCAGGAUUGGGAGGAAGUGAACGUGCUUCUCACCUUUUGGUGUUUGAAUUCCACGUUAACCAUGACCCCAAAGCUGGAAACGGGAAAGGAACUGACGGAAACAGGUGUCUGGACCCGGCCACUGUUCCUCAUGCACUCAGGGUAUUGUAUAUACCUGCUUCCCUUCAAUACUCUCAAUGGUCCAGGGGGAGCCUCACCAGCAGAGCCAGCCCCCAGCCCCCUGGUGACGAUGGACCAGACGGAGAGUGGCACUGUGGGGGC